GAUCAUGGCUCAGGACGAACGCUGGCGGCGUGCUUAACACAUGCAAGUCGAACGAGAAUCUACGGAUCGGGGAUUCGUCCAAGUGAAGUAGAGGACAGUGGCGGACGGGUGAGUAACGCGUGAGGAACCUGCCUUUCAGAGGGGGACAACAGUUGGAAACGACUGCUAAUACCGCAUGACACAUUGGGGUCGCAUGGCCCUGAUGUCAAAGAUUUAUCGCUGAAAGAUGG
rnacentral:rRNA from 1 species